rnacentral:rRNA from 1 species
GGGAAUUUCCCGCAAUGGGCGAAAGCCUGACGGAGCAAUGCCGCGUGGAGGUGGAAGGCCUACGGGUCGUCAACUUCUUUUCUCGGAGAAGAAACAAUGACGGUAUCUGAGGAAUAAGCAUCGGCUAACUCUGUGCCAG